rnacentral:rRNA from 1 species
AUUGAACGCUGGCGGCAGGCCUAACCCAUGCAAGUCGAACGGAGUGGCGGACGGGUGAGUAAUGUCUGGGAAACUGCCCGAUGGAGGGGGAUAACUACUGGAAACGGUAGCUAAUACCGCAUACUAUCAGAUGAGCCUAGGUCGGAUUAGCUAUUUGGUGGGUUAAAGGCCUACAAAGGCGACGAUCCGUAACUGGUCUGAGAGGAUGAUCAGUCACACUGGAACUGAGACACGGUCCAGACUCCUACGGGAGGCAGCAGUGGGGAAUAUUUGACAAUGGGCGAAAGCCUGAUGCAGCCAUGCCGCGUGUGUGAAGAAGGGCUUCGGAUUGUAAAGCACUUUAAGUUGGGAGGCGUUACCAACAGAAUAAGCACCGGCUAACUUCGUGCCAGCAGCCGCGGUAAUUC